UACGUAGGGUCCGAGCGUUGUCCGGAAUUAUUGGCGUAAAGAGCGCGUAGGCGGCCAGAUAAGUAGGGGGUGAAAUCCUGCGGCUUAACCGCAGGGCUGCCUUCUAGACUGUCAGGCUAGAGCACAGUAGAGGCAGGUGGAAUUCCCGGUGUAGCGGUGGAAUGCGUAGAGAUCGGGAAGAACAUCAGUGGCGAAGGCGGCCUGCUGGGCUGUUGCUGACGCUGAGGCGCGACGCGUGGGGGAGCAAACGAGGG
rnacentral:rRNA from 1 species